UUUUUUUACACGCGCGUGUAGUUACUCUCAUCUAUAUAUCUCUACAUUUAAGGUGUAUAUGACCGGACGAAAUGUAUAUAGACAAAAUAUAUGAUCAUACUAGACCAUCUAGAGUGAUAUGUAUGAUAAGUAUGCAUACAUACAUAGAGUAUAUGGUUAUACUUAUUGUAUAUAAUAUAGUAGUGGCAGUUUAGUAAUAUAUUUAAAAUCUAAUUUUUUUUGAAAAAUUUUCGCG
rnacentral:lncRNA from 1 species